rnacentral:rRNA from 1 species
UACGUAGGGUGCAAGCGUUGUCCGGAAUUAUUGGGCGUAAAGAGCUCGUAGGCGGUCUGUCGCGUCGGCUGUGAAAACCCGGGGCUCAACCCCGGGCCUGCAGUCGAUACGGGCAGACUAGAGUGCGGUAGGGGAGACUGGAAUUCCUGGUGUAGCGGUGAAAUGCGCAGAUAUCAGGAGGAACACCGGUGGCGAAGGCGGGUCUCUGGGUAGUAACUGACGCUGAGGAACGAAAGCGUGGGUAGCGAACAGG